rnacentral:rRNA from 1 species
AAGCAUAUUAUUAAGCGGAGGAAAAGAAACUCACCAGGAUUCCCUCAGUAAGGGCGACUGAAGUGGGAAGAGCUCAUGAUGUGAAUCUACGGAAUUGUGGUCUAGGUGUGUUACUACUGGCCGGGCCAAGUCCCUUGGAACAGGGCAGCGCAGAGGGUGAGACUCCCGUCUGUCCGGCCUCUGGAACGCCUUCGAACGAGUCGAGUUGUUUGGGAUUGCAGCUCUAAGCGGGUGGUAAAUUCCAUCCAAGGCUAAAUAUUGGUGGGAGACCGAUAGCGUACAAGUACCGUGAGGGAAAGAUGCAAAGGACUUUGAAAAGAGAGUUAAAGAGUACCUGAAAUUGCUGAGAAGGAAGCGAAGGAAACCAGUGCGAGGCGUGUCAUACUUCCCCGCUCGCUUGCGGUCGGGGCGCUGUGGCCGCCGUGGUUCAGUUUGGUUCAGUUGUCCGGACGACUCGUCACGGUUGGCUGAACUGGGCUGCACGAAAUGGUUUUCUUUUCCCCG